GAAGCUGAGUACCAGAGUGAGUCCACCUCCAGGCCCACCUCUUCUGCCACCUCUCGCCGGACUGCCUCCUCCACACUUUCACCUAGAAGCAACCAAAGUUAGGUUCUGCCCUUGCACCCUGCACUUUGCUGGAUCAGAGACCACCUUACCCACAUCACAGAAGCCUGACAGAGCGGUGUACAUCCCCUGAGGAAAUGAGGGCUGUCGUGCGAGGAGGCACCGGCUCCCAUCAGACACCAGGGUGAUAACCACUGGAGACAUCUAGCAAAUGCAUCAAAAAGCAAAGCAAGAAGUUCAGACUGAACAAAUACUGCGCUCCAUGCGAGAUUCAAUCCUGUGAGCGAAGUGAAGGUCUGGCCAUACAAAUGCGUCUCUGACAGCUUCCUGUAGCUUACUAAUUUGAGUUUUGGCAGGCCACCAGAGGAAGUGAAUCCCUGAGACCUUCCUGAUGCAAGAAGCGCCAUCAGAAGGAGCAGACGAAGAAGAUACAAGCAGUGGGAACAAAUACUUGUGACCUCUUACAUGGGCAAGACUACAAAAUAGGCAAAUCUCUGGUCCUGUGUUGCUAAGAUUUUUUUUUCCUUUUUAAAUCUGGGUUUGUAAAAUACUCAUAUUGGUAUCAUCAGUUGAUAAAAGAGUUUUUCAAGCCAAAGAAGCACUGGAAAAUGUAAUUCUAGGCUAAUAAUGGUUAUACUACUAAUCUUGCAUUUUCUUGCUUUUUCUUGUUCUGUUUUGUGUCUCUCCAGCUGCCCCCAAUAAGCAGAAACAAGGAUUAGAAUUGCUAACAGCUGGCCCUUGCAAAACAACUGUUAAUUGCUUUAAAUACAUAAAACCAGCAAACUGGCAUUGAAAGCUUAUGGGCAAGCCACAAGAAACUUCUUGGUAAAAAUUUUUUUCUUUUUUAGCAAGAGCCCAGGGAAAGGCAAACCACUUCUUUAAAGGGAAAGUUAAUGAGUAGUCUUUCCCCAAUCGUUAAAUUUUAGAUGCAAACUAACCAAAUCUGUUUUUUCUCUAAAGUUAGCUUGUAGAACAUAUUAUGUGUGUGAGGAAUUGCUACAGUUUCUCAUACUCAGGGUGGGGACCCUGAAAGACAGAAACUGUCUAAUUUGAUACUGAUGAUUACGUUCUGUGCUCCUAACACUUGCACAGGUAUAGAGGAGACACUUUAACAUCUGAAUGACACUUGAGUAGGAUUUGCCUAUGAUUCACCUGUGUGUUAACACAUCGCCUGCAGGUCACGGCCUAUUGUCUCUAAAAGGCUACUGAAAACCUGGAAAAGGUUUAAAGAGGACAACAAGCAUGAUCAAAGACUAGGAAUACAACUUUCUCUAAUACUACCUGAAAGGAGGUUGUGGAUGCAAAACAAUUCUAGUUACAGAGAGGAGAAAUACUUAACAGAGAUCUUCAUUGACUCUUAUUAUGUAGAUGGACCACAUCAGACUGAGAACAUCCCUAACUUAAAAGUGUUUGAAGGCUAUGACAGUAUUCUAGGCAGUAUGGGCUAAAAGAAAUCUUUGGUGUGAGCCAGUACGGUUGUGUUCUUAUGAGACCUCUUGUGCUUCAUUCUUGUUUCAGAUGGACCUUUCUUUUCAUAUCUUUCAGCAUAGGGCCUAUGGAGUGCUUCUACAGGAUUGCUCAGAAAAGGAAGCAUGUUGUGAGGCUUGUGCUCGCUGCAAAGGAGUCAGUGUAUCUGCUAGAAAACACACAGGGCUCUGCAAAUCCUAAAGAAAGUCUGAAAGGUGCUUAGUCUGCUGCAGUUCUCUCUUAAGAAGUGUUCUUGUUGUACUGGUUCUUAGACAUAGUAAAGUGCUUCUUAACAAGGUGCUGACAUAACAAAUUGCCUGCUUGAAGCUGCCCAACCCCAUCAGCAUUUGACAGCAGGUAAUAAUGCACAAGUCCAGCACAGAGCAAUUUACAAACAAUCUCUUAAUUCAGCUGGAACAUCAGUGACUGUGCCAGAGUUGAGGAAGGCAGGAGAAAAUGAGUAAAUACUUUCUACCUAGCUUGGGAGAAAGCACCGGUAAGGGGCAGAAACAGAUUCAUGGAGCAAGACAAUGCCAUGGCUAUAGGAAACAACCCUCGAUUUGGUGGCCUGGUAGAUGCCAAAAUCCUGGGCUCCUUUUAGGAGAAAUUUCUUUGCCUUCAGCCCCGUGCUGACCAAUACAAGCAAGCCCAUUACUAA